GUACUGAGACACGGACCAGACUCCUACGGGAGGCAGCAGUGGGGAAUAUUGCACAAUGGGCGCAAGCCUGAUGCAGCAACGCCGCGUGAGGGACGAAGGCCUUCGGGUUGUAAACCUCUUUUAGCAGGGAAGAAGCGAAAGUGACGGUACCUGCAGAAAAAGCACCGGCUAACUACGUGCCAGCAGCCGCGGUAAUACGUAGGGUGCAAGCGUUGUCCGGAAUUAUUGGGCGUAAAGAGCUCGUAGGCGGUUUGCCACGUCUGCUGUGAAAUUUCGAGGCUCAACCUCGAACUUGCAGUGGGUACGGGCAGGCUAGAGUGCGGUAGGGGAGAUGGGAAUUCCUGGUGUAGCGGUGGAACGCGCAGAUAUCAGGAGGAACACCAAUGGCGAAGGCACAUCUCUGGGCCGUAACUGACGCUGAGGAGCGAAAGCGUGGGGAGCAAACAGGAUUAGAUACCCUGGUAGUCCACGCCGUAAACGGUGGGUGCUAGCUGUGGGCCACAUUCCACGUGGUCCGUGACGAAGUUAACACAUUAAGCACCCCGCCUGGGGAGUACGGCCGCAAGGCUAAAACUCAAAGGAAUUGACGG
rnacentral:rRNA from 1 species